rnacentral:rRNA from 1 species
CUACGGGAGGCAGCAGUUUCGAAUCAUUCACAAUGGGCGAAAGCCUGAUGGUGCGACGCCGCGUGAGGGAUGAAGGUCUUCGGAUUGUAAACCUCUGUCACUGGGGAGGAAACGCUUUGAGCUAAUAGUUCAAAGCCUGACUUAACCCGGAGAGGAAGCAGUGGCUAACUCUGUGCCAGCAGCCGCGGUAAUACAGAGACUGCAAGCGUUAUUCGGAUUCACUGGGCGUAAAGGGUGCGCAGGCGGCCAAGUGUGUGAGGCGUGAAAGCCCGGGGCUUAACCCCGGAAUUGCACCUCAAACUACAUGGCUAGAGCAUUGGAGAGGGUAGCAGAAUUCACGGUGUAGCAGUGAAAUGCGUAGAUAUCGUGAGGAAUACCAGAGGCGAAGGCGGCUACCUGGACAAUUGCUGACGCUCAGGCACGAAAGCGUGGGGAGCAAAAGGGAUUAGAAACCCCAGUAGUCC